UUCUUCCUUUGGUGCCUGGGCCUGCAAGGAAAGGAAAUAACUGUCAAUUUCAUCCUCCGCCUCCCUGAUCCCCCUCAGCCUGCUAACCUCCUCCCGGAGCUCCCUCACCUGCGCCUCCAGGGCCCUAAGACGGGCACCUGCUGGACAGGUGUGGGGGCCCCCAAUCUCUGCUCCCCCCGGCCCUGCUGGGGAUACCCCACAGGCCAGGAGGUAGGGGGACACCAGCUCCCCCAUGGGCUCGGUCUGGGUGGAGGCCUCAGACCUGCCCCGGGUAGCCUUGUCCCCCUGGACAGAGGCCCUAGCAGUACUCCUCGUAGACACCAUUCUACAAGCUGCUGUUUGUAGACCUGCGCGGUGUCUACUCCCUACCCCUACAGAAGUCCCACUCCUGGCCCUCCUUGCCCGCCCUCCGGCGCGAACGCCCACGCAAACGCCGGCGUGCUCUUACAGAGCGCGCCUGUUUGCGCGCUCUGUUCGCGCCGCGCGGCUCCCUACCGGCUCAGCUAUAUGGGACCCGGGGGGCUUCCCCUCCGGAUCCGGCUCAGCUGCGCCGGGUCCCUCCGCCCCACUUACCUUCGGGGGAUCAGCUACUGCUGCCCCCGCUGCUGAUUCCUCUGUUGUUGCUGCUGCCGCCGCCGCCUCCGGUCAGUUGGUUGGUAAGAAGGGCACACGUGCGUGCGGGACACACGUGUGCUGCCUCCUCUCCUUCCCGCUGCUGGUUCCCUUUGUGCCUGAAGUGUUCCUUGCAAGCCCAGGACCAGGCUCAGGGACAGGGAACAUGCCUGCACCUGCUGGUGCUGCUGCCACUGUACCCAGUAAAGCCUGACUUCCCACACAGUCCAGUUACAGUAGGGCAAGAGUGGCUUUGGAGCUUCCUCCACCCCUGGGUCUACCAGGGACAGCAGCAGCAAUAGGUGAAGGAGGAGGGGAAUGGAGGGGAGUAGACAUGCUGCUGAACAAGAAGUGGAAGAACAAGGGUGACAAGAGCAGGGAGGAGGGAUUCUUAUUUGAUGUGGGGAUUUAAAAAAAAAGUUUCAGCGGCUGCUCCCACAGUGCAUUCUGCCUGUCCCAUUGCAGGAGGGGGUCAGGGUGUCUUGGGUCUGCCUCUGAAGCCAGCUCUUUGAAUUAUUCCUGAAAAGCCAGUUUAGACCCUAUGGGUACAUAUACAUGUGACGGAACUCUGCUCUGAUGCAUGCUAAUUAUCGUGCAUUGCAGCAGACUCUAUUGAAUCUGCUGCAAGUCUGCUGAAGUGUGCUGAUUAGUGCUCUUCAGCAGCCUCUGUGUCGCAUGUAUUCAGUGUCCCUGCAUUUCAAAAUGGUGGUGGGGGUGCUUUAACUAAAGUUCAUAGAUUUCAUAGACAUUAGGGCUGGAAGGAACCUCAGAAGAUCAUCAAGUCCAGCCCCCUGCCCUAGGGGAAGGAAGUCAAAGGAUCCCAGCAAGAUAAACAUCCAAAUGUCUCUUAAAGGAGUCCAGAGUAGGUGGCCUACCUCUGGAGGCAAUCUGUUCCAGGCCUUGGGGGCUUGGACAGUAAAGAAGUUCUUUCUUAUGUCCAGCCUGAAAUGGUCUUGGAGGAGUUUGUGACCAUUUGACCUUGUCAUCUCUUGGAGUGCUCUGGUGAACAGGCGUUCCCCCAGAUCCUGAUGCACAUCCCUUAUAUACUUAUAGGCUGCCACCAGGUCCCCCCUGAGCCUGUGCUUUUCCAGGCUGAAGAGUCCCUUGGCUCUCAGCCUCUCAUCAUAAGGCCUGUUCUUCUAACCUCUGAUCAUGUGCAUGGCUCUCCUCUGGACUCUCUCAAGCUUCUCCACAUCCUUUUAAAAUUGUGGAGCCCAGAAUUGGAUGCAGUACUCUAGCUGCGGCCUCACCAAGGCCAAGUACAGCAGGAGGAUGACAGCCUGGGAUUUGCCUGAGAAGCGUCUAUGGAUGCAAGCCAGAGUUUUGCUCACUUUACCAGCUGCAACAUCGCAUUGGUGGCUCAUAUUCAUCUUGUGGUCAGUCAUGACCCCCCAAGUUCCUUUCGGCCAUGGUUCUAGCAAGCGUAGCAUCGCCAAGCCUAUAAGCGUGCUGUGGGUUUUUUUUUCCCCAAGGGGGAGUACUUUGCAUUUUUUGGUGUUGAAUGCCAUCAAGUUUUCGUCCAUCCAUUUUCUGGGUCUGUCUAGGUCGGCCUGGAUCACCAUCCUCUCCUCAGGUGUGGACGCUUUACCCCAAAGUUUGGUGUCAUCAGCGAACUUGGCCAGUCCGCUUCUGAUGCCAAUGUCCACAUCAUUGAUAAAGAUGUUAAAGCAUAUAGGCCUAAGGACAGAGCCUUGGGGGACCCCACUGGUCAUGGUGCACCACGAUGAUUUACAUCCUUCAACUACCACUCUCUGGGUCCGACCUCGGAGCCAAUUCUCCAUCCAUCAGACUGUAAUGUAGCCGAGGCUGCAGUUGGCCAGUUUUUCCAUGAGAUGAUCAUGGGAUACCAGAUCAAAGGCUUUUUAAAAAUCAAGAUAUAUGACGUCAAUCUCUUCUCCCUUGUCCAGGUGAUAUGUCACCUGGUCAUAGAAGGAGAUGAGAUUGGUCAGGUAAGACCUACCCACAACAAACCUGUACUGGCUAUCCCUCAGGAUGUUGCCAUCAGCCAGUUUGUCAAGGAUGGUCUCUUUGAUAAUGUUUUCCAACAUCUUUCCUGGGAUAGAGGUCAAGCUGAUAGGUCCAUAGUUCCCCAGAUCUACUUUCCUCCCUUUCUUGAAGAUCGGCACCACGUUGGCCUUCUUCCAAUCUUCGGGAACUUCACCUGAGUGCCGCAAGUUCUCGAAGAUCUGUGCCAGUGGCUGAGCUAUGGUUCCUGCCAGCUCCUUAAGUACCCUGGAGUGUAAACUGUUUUGCCAGCUGACUUGUAGGCAUCCAGCCUCUCAAGGUAUUCCUUCACAUGGUCUACAUUGAUGAACAGUAACAAUUCUCUCUCACCCUGGCUGUCCCGUACCAUAUUGAACAGGGCCAUCCCUUGGGACUGGUGAAAAAGAGACGCAAAUUACCCAUUAAACAGGUUGGCUUUUUUCUGGGCAUCGGUUGUCAGUUGUCCCAUAUGGUUUAGCAGGGGUCCAAUGUUACCCUUGCUUUUCCUCCGGUUCCCCACAUAGCUAAAAAAGGACUUUUUAUUGUCUUUGAUACAUGUAGCCAGUUGGAGUUCAGUCGCAGCCUUGGCUUUCCUGGUUCACUCCCUACAGGUCUAGACCAGUGCAGAAUACUCCUUUGAGGUGGAUCCAAUCUUCCAUCCUUUAUAGGUCUUUCUUUUUAGACACAGGAGGCCCACAAGUUCCCUGCAGAGCCAAGGGGGCUGCUGUGCCCUUUUUCUGCCUUUCCUCCGAGAUGGGAUAGACAUUGCUUGUGCUUUCAGGAUUGCUCCCUUGAGGAGCAACCACUGAUCCUGAACUCCCUUCCCCUUUGGGUCGUGGUCCCUUAGGGCCUCACCAACAGGCUUCCUGAGCUUGUCAAAGUCAGCUUUCCUGAAUUCAAGGACUUCUGCAUUGCUGAUUGUCUUGCCAGCUUUAUGGUGGAUAGUGAAGGAGAUCACACUUUAGUUAAAGGAACCCAGCCGCCAUUUUGAGGGACGGGACACUGAAUACACGUGACACUGCAAGCACUUUAAUUAGAGUGGCUCUCAGAGCUGCUCUAAUUAUAGAACCCCUGACCCCAGACCACAUAUAUAGAUGCCCAAAAUGAGCCAGUGCAGACUCCGGAGCACAAUCAGAAAGUGGGCAGCCACGUUCUGUAUCAGCUGCAGCUUCAGGAUGGUCCUUAAGGGCAGACUUAUGUAGAGUGCAUUGCAGUAGUCUAGCUUUAAGGUUACGAAAAACAUGAAUGAUGGUGCUCAGAUCCAAAUCUGAAAGAAAGGGUUGCAGCCUUCUCACAAGGUAGAGUUGCGAACUUGAAUGAUAAGGGGAGGAUGAACCUCAUCAAUGAUAGGUAUUCCUAUCCCCAAGACUGGCCUGGGUCAGAUGAAACAGAGAGAGAGAGAGAGAGCAGGAUAUAAUCCUUAUGCUGUCAUCUCAUUCCAAAUCUCCACACAAUCUUGCCCAGUGGUCUCAGAUACACACUGAAUGACAAGAAGGAAACUUGGGGGACCCUACAGGAAUGGUUACCCCAAGGGUAUGAUGACUCCAUGACCACCCUCUGGGAUCUUCCAGCUAGGAAAGAGUGGAACCAGUUAAGAUCAGUCCCAUGAAUACUCACCAGGUUACAUAAAGAUAUUAUCAACACCUCACUGUCAGUUGUAUGAAGAGCUGCUGAAAGAUCUACUGUGAGCAAGGUAGAGUUUCCCUUGUUGUUCUCCAGGUGACAACUGUCAGCCAUGAUCACAAGCACUGUCUCUGUACUGUACCUAGGACAAAAGCCAGACUGCCAGGAGCUCAGGAGCCUGAUGGCACCUGCACCUGACAGGUGAGCAUCUAGUCAAUGUUCUUAUUUAAAAAGGGGAUGUUAGAAACAGGGCAAUGCCACAGAGUUGGGUUUUUUUAGAAGGGGCAGAAGAUAGCAGACUUAAGAACAUCUAGCACCUCAAAUCUCUUUUGACCCACCAUCAGUAAUGGCUCCACUCUCCCCUGUCUGGCUUUUACUAACUAGGAUUGUCACAGGUCCAGUUCACAGGUGAUUGACUACAUUUCAUCAAGCACGCAGGACCGGAGGAAAGUAGGGCCGGAAGGGACCUCACAGGGACUUCUAAACCCAGCCCCCUGCUCAAGGAAGGCUCAUCCUUGACUAAUGCAAGGUCUAACUAACAUCCAAGUGUCUAACUAACCUGCUUUUGAAAGUUUCCAAGCAUGGAGAUUCCACAGCUUCUCUAGUUAGCCUGUUCCAAUGCUUGACUACCCUUAUAGUCAGAAAGUUCUUCCUAACUUCCAGCUUAAAUUUCCUCUGCUGCAGCUUGAGGCUGUUGCUCCUAGCCCUGUUCCCUAUUGCCAUGGAGAAAAGCCUGUCUCCAUUCUUUCUAUAAUAAUCCUUCAGGUAUUUGAAGACUGUUACCAAAUCCCCCCUCAGUCUUUUCUUCUCUAGACUAAAUAAAUUUAGCUCUUUCAGCCUUUCCUUGUAAGUCUUGCUUUUCAGACCCCUAAUCAUUUUUGUUGGCUUGUGCUAGACUCUUUCUAAUUUGUCCAUAUUCUUCUUGAAACAUGGGGCCCAAAACUGGACACAUUCCAGGUGAGGCCUCAGCAUGCUGAAUAGAACAGAAGAAUCAGUUCCCUUGAUUUGCAGAUGAUACUUCUGUUAAUAAAAACCAGGAUGCUGUUGGCUUUUUUUGCAACAAGAGCACACUGCUGGCUCAUGUUCAAUUUAUGAUCCAUAUCCUUUGCAUCAAUGGGCAACAACUGAAACUGAUCCAUAUACAUUGACCAAGUUUCUUCAACUCUGAGAUCUGACUCUACAACUAAACUGGUAGUCCCCAAGCUCUGCUAGAUAUAGCAAUUUUGUCAGCAAAGUGGUCAGCUCAUCACAGCAGACUGCAGAUAACUUGGUUUCUGGGAAGAGACAACUUAGAUUAACUAGGUUGCUGACCACCCAGAACUGUUUCACCAGAUAGUAGCUUGUAGAUGCAAAGGCAGUAGAGAAGAAAAACUUCUUUGCUGCACCAUUGUAUAGUCUUUUACAAAGGAUUUUUGUCACAACCAGGCCUUAAUACAGGUCAAGAGCCAUUUGCACUCGAACCACCUAACCUCCUGCUUCAGCUGCCUUAGAUCUCCUGAGACAUACUGUCUCUUGAAUGCUUCAUCUGAUUGUAUUUUCUUUUAUAAAGGUUAAAGUAUGCCUUUUAAUUGGAAUGUUUUUAUUACAGCUAUAAAAGCUAGCUUUCCUCAGAAAUGCAGAUAUGGACCAUGAACCCACAAGCAGUAGUUUACCUGACUAACUUUACACACAAAUAGCAUUCUGAAAUCUGUUUGUUCCAUUUGUCCAAAUGAAGAUAAGGGGACCUGGAGAAAAUGGGAGAACUCAGCCACAUCUUGCCUCAUAUCGAGAACCUGACAAAGGAUAAACAUCUGGAUAUUAUGAAGAAAAACAAGGAAAUCAUAUUAUGGGAGCUCUGCAGUCUACUCAAGAUCAGAAAACUAACCUCUUUCUUUGCUAACUGAUAUAAAAAGAGGACUACUAGUGACACAGCUAAUUUCUAACUGAUGUGAUUGAAGCUCUGGUGCCUUAAACAGACAAUCUUUUUCACUCCCCAUGUCUGCACAGAAUCAGCAGAUAAGUACCGCCUAUCCAGCUGUAUAUCUUCAGCAACAGUAACACCAACUAUCCCAGCAGACAUUAUGUAGAGUUGCUAAGAAUUGCUCAGUUCAGGAAGACCUAUCUGUGACAAAAGUACAAGACUUUUGAAGUUGGAAAAGAUAUAGCUGGGUCUACCUAUAAUUUAUAAGACCUCAGUCCUUCAGGCUGCUAAACAGUCUUGUCCUAAUCUGGCAAAAUACUUAAGAUUGUUUCAUGAAACAUCUCUGCAAUCCAGCGCCACCACCCCCUGAACACUGCUCGGUAUGGGCCCAACUGCACCACAUGCACCACCCUGCUGUGCGGUGGGCAGCCCACUGUGCUGGUGCUCCCGUGCUGUGUGAAGUUCCCAAGUCUAGCCUUUAGGUCCUUCAGCUGCACUGUGCUCUGUGGCUGCCUCCUGCCUGGGGUGCAAUCUAGCGCGGGGAACAGGGAAGCAGCCCACCUGGCUACUCCCACCCCAGCAUGAUGCCCAUCUCCAGCGAAACAUUGAAACAGCUUUGAAACAGCCUUUCUGUUUUGACGGAACGGAACAGAACAGCUGUUUCAACUCGAAAUGAAAUUUGAUACGAAAUGGUUCUGUCGAACUGUUGAAACUCAAGGCAAAAUGGAACGGUGCCGUUUCAUACAACCCUACUGUUUAGGUGUGAGCAGGAAGCCAAAGGUGUGGAGAAGAGAGGGAGAGGCUGGCGAGUCCAGCAGCAGCUGUAGCUAGAGAACUGGAGAGAGCCCAGGGGCUGUAGCGUAACCCCUUGGGGACCAUGUGCAGUCCGCAGGUCACCAGUUAGAUAGCCCUAUUGAUAAGGGAAACUAGCAUCCAGGCUCUUUCUGCUUGUGUAGGUGCACUCGAUAUUUAGUAUUCCGCUUCCAUUCUGAUCUUGACAUUGUUCUCAACAAGUUAUAUGAAUAGUAGUUUAUGUAGCGGUUUAUUGGUAGUCUCAGACUUACAUAAGUAUCACUGACAUCCCUCUAAUUAUAAUUAUUUUUUCUUCCUUUCUACAUCUAGACUUUAUUUAGUUUAGAAAGCCCAUCUAUGGUUCUUUAUAGAUAGCUUCCAGCAUUCUGUAAAAAUCACUCACCACUAUAUCUUAGAGCUGUACUUAUAUUGUUAUGUUUCCGAGUGUCACUUUACAGAUACUUUUUUUGAAAACAGUUGCCUUUGCUAGGUACAACCUCUUUUCCUUUAUACAUUGAUUGAAUGGGGGGGGGGGAAAACACACAUUUUAAAAGCAUUCUUAAAAAGUUAUAAAAAGGGAAGCCAAUUCAUGUCUUUUUCUGUAUGCAAAGACAAAAUGGAGGCUUGCUGAUGUUCUACAACUGGGGCUCCAUUUAAAAAUCAAAAUUUAAUGAUCAUGGGACAGCUAUCGAAUUUCCAGAAGGAUAAAAAGAUUCUUAGUUAAAAGUGAAACAGUACCCCAUCUGUUUGGCUGGUGAACAUCUGUUUAAGACAGUUAUGAUCUAGAUUAAUGGAUAUUAUCACUACUUCCUAGAGACCAGCAAACCUACUAGCUUAAGUGAAAACUGGAAUCUUUCCAAUUUAAAGAAAAACUCCUCCCCUCCUCCCAUGCUUCAGACAAGAGACCCUUCUGACUGGUGCCCCGUCUCUGAGCUGCCACUUUUCCUUAUUCCUAGUCCAGGGUACACUACUUUCAUAUUUUAAAGAUAUUCUUCAUAACAAUGCAUGUUUAUGAACAAAUUUUGUUGUACCAAAACACAGGGGGGUGCAUCCCCAUGUGCAUGCAUGUGUGGUUUGCGGUGUCUCAAAACAGUUUGAAGCACCACUAACUGCGCAUAGCACAGGUGCAACUGUUCACCAUUCUUUUAAUUUUUAGUGCAGCGCACGCAGCAGCAGCAUGUGCCUCAGAAUGGGAGCAUGGCCAGCCAGAGCAGCUCUGGCUGCUGGCCAGGCCCCUAGUGCUUGACUGGCCACUGAUGCUGCCCCAGGAAGCCCCCAGGAUCCCAGGUAUGGCUGUUGGGGCCAGCACAGGUGCUGAAUUUGUGCUACUGCUAUUUUUGCCAUGGCAAUAGCAUGUCCCUGCAUGCGGGGAUGUGUCCCUGGAGCCUAGCUAUAAUGAAGUGAAAAAGCAUCCCUUUGUUGAUUGGUUCAGAAUGGCAGUUUCUAUGUUCCUAAAUAUUUAAGGGUGGAGCAGGGGGAGUCAGAGGGAGAAAAUCCCCGCUCAUUCCCUUCCUUUCAGCAUCUGGAAGCCAAGCUGCCUCGCUAGUGAUGGGGCAAACUGCAGGGGCAGCUGAAGCAGGGCAGCUGGAGAGCCAGUCCUGAUGCAGCACUCCAAGGAAGCCCCAAGGUAGGUCUGGGGGCAUGAGAGGGAUAAAAUCCUUACUUUCAGAGUUCCCCCAUGCUGACAAGACAAAGUUCAGGCUGCAGGGAUGCUCAGGGCAGCGCAGUGGCCAGUACAGCUGCAGGCUGGCCCCUUUAAAGGUCCCCCUGGGAAACAGAGUUCCCUGGGGGCAAAAGUCCUAUUUAGGACCACUAAAGCUGGGCUAGGACAUCCUGGGCAGUUUAUGCCCUCAGGGGAAGAAACCCCAGUUCAUCCCAGGUGCUUUGCCUUAAUAUAGGACAAAGGAGCUGCAGCUGCAGACCAGAAGCCAAUGCUGAGGUUGGGAUUAUAAGGAGAAGAACCUGAAAGGAUACAGGGAGUGGUGAAAGGGGAGACCCUACACUGGAGAGCAAUAGAGGCAAGGGGAGAGGGACACCUCUGCCCAUAUUUCUUUAUUUUGUGACUGACGGACUGCAGAGAAUUCCUGGAAGUUGACCUGGAAGGUACUGAGUUUAGAUCCUGUCUGUGAUGCCUUGACAGCAGGAGCCCUUAAUCACACUAGAGGACUCUGGUGGGGGUACAGGGUUUGGAGGAGCCCCUGUUAUAGGCCUGUGAGGGCCACUCCAGGCCAUAACAUUAUUUUUGGACUAUUAUUUAAAGACAGCCCUGACAGCAGAGCUGCUUUCCUUCUCUGGGAGCGAAUUCUACAUUAAUACUAUCGAGUCGUGGUGGGUGAAUAUCCUGGGAAGAUAGCGUGCCCUCUGACAGGGUACAUGGUGUUAGUUGAGCUGUAGACAGAAGAGCCUGACCACAAAGGGAUUGGUCAGUCUUGUGACUCAACUAGUCCGCUCUCAUGUGUCUGACAGUAGCUACUGCCAGAUGCUUCAGAAAAUACAAGAAACAGUGUAUGACGUACGUGGUGGAAAUUCGCUUCCAUGCUCUUGAGUUUACCCGAAGUUGCCCUAUAGAAGUGGAAAUGUGCUCUUAUUGUGUGAAAGCUAACAGCAUACUGGGCUGCAUUAGUAGCAGCAUUUCCAGCAGAUCAAGGGCAGUGAUUGUUCCCCUCUGGUCAGCACUGGUGAGGCCAUAGCUGUAAUACUAUGUCUAGUUUUGGGCCUCCCACUACAGAAGGGAUGUAGAGAAAUUGGAGAGUCCAGCAGAGGGCAACAAAAAUGUUUAGGGGGCUGGGGCACAUGACUUCUCAGGAGAGACUGGAACUGGGCUUAUUUGCUCUACAAAAGAGAAGAGUGAGGGGGGGAUUUAAUAGCAGCCUUCAACUACCUGAAAGACAGUUCCAAAGAGGAUGGAGCUGGACUGUUCUCAGUGGUGGCAGAUGACAGAACAAAGAGCAAUGGCCUGAAGUUGCAGCAAGAGAAGUUUAGGUUAGAUAUUAGGAAAAACUUUCUCAGGAGGGUAGUAAAACGCUGGAACAGGUCAUCCAGAGAGGUUUGGGAAUCUCCAUUUUUGGAGGUUUUUAAGAGCCAGGUAGACAAAGCCUUGGCUGGGAUGAUCUAUUUGGGGAUGGUCCUGCUUUGAGAACGGGGUUGGACUAGAUAAUCUCUUGUGGUCUCUUCUGUCAUGACCCAAAGGUCUGAUUUUUUUUGUGUGUGCUUCGGCACUAAGAAUUAUCCCCGUGGGUAUACAACUUCGUUGUACGGAGGAGUUCUGCUGCGCAGAGAACCCGCGUGCAAAGAAGUUUUCCCGCCACUUUGCAGGGAUCUUUGCAGGGUGCAUUUCCUUUGCAGCACAGAAAUGCAUGGUGCAAAGAUUUCCCGCUCGUCGUAUGCAAAUUUGUGCCCCGCAAUUGGCUAGUGCUAAAUUAUUCACACGUGGCGACUAGCGAUUGGCCUGCUAGCCGUAUAAGAGGCUUGAGCAGUUUCCGCCCAAGCCGAAGAGGGCUCCGCAUCCAUCUCGUGGGGACUCUGGGUGUGUGCGGCAGGGUAAUAGAAACCCUGUGUGUCGCUCAGAGGAGUUUGGCGGCCUGAUCCACCGCCCACCUCUUCCCGUCCUCGAACGGAGCCUACUAUAGGACGUAAUGACGAGUUUAAUGCGCGCUUGUCCUGGACAUCCGGAGUUUGUCGUGUUCUGUCUGCGUGGAGCCUUGCAACCUCCACGCGUGUUCGUGUUUUUUGUUGUAACCGCAACUCAAGCAAGUUCUCAGCCUACACCACGACCAUCUCGGUGUAAGUAAAAUAAUCUUAAAAUCAA